ACGAAGGGUGCAAACGUUGCUCGGAAUCAUUGGGCGUAGAGGGCGCGUAGGCGGCCUUCUAAGUCGAACGUGAAAUCCCCGGGCUCAACCCGGGAACUGCGUCCGAUACUGGAAGGCUUGAAUCCGGGAGAGGGAUGCGGAAUUCCAGGUGUAGCGGUGAAAUGCGUAGAUAUCUGGAGGAACACCGGUGGCGAAGGCGGCAUCCUGGACCGGUAUUGACGCUGAGGCGCGAAAGCCAGGGGAGCAAACGGGA
rnacentral:rRNA from 1 species